rnacentral:RNase_P_RNA from 1 species
GGAGUUGAACGGGUGGCCGCGGCUCAGCAACGACUGGGUCGAGGAAAGUCGGGACUUCACAGGGCAGGAUGCUGGUGAGAGCCAGGUUGGGGCGACCUAACGGAUAGUGCAACAGAGAACAGACCGCCGAUGGGUNGGGUAACCGACCANAGGCAAGGCUGAAACGGUGCGGUAAGAGCGCACCAGCACACAGAGCGAUCUGUGUGGCUUGGCAAACCCCUUCCGGAGCAAGGCCAAGCAGGGAGUGAGUGGCCCGCUCAACACUCCCGGGUAGGCCGCGUAGAUGGAUGGUCACCGGCGCUUCGGCGUCACAGGAUCCCGCUUACAGGUCAACUCCCCGU